rnacentral:misc_RNA from 1 species
GCUCCAAAUAGUAGAUCUUGUCGUUCAUACCUUCCUUCUUGUAUGCCUCCACCAUGAUAGAGUAGGUUCUUGAAUCCGGUUGGCAUUGAUUAUCUUUCAUCCGAUUAAAAACUCUCUCCAUCUCCAUCAAAUCCUCUGCCUUCGCGCAUGCAGAAAUAACCGCAUUAUAGAACAUGGUAUUCUCAGAUAUUUCAAACUUUGCAGCCAACUGAACAGUGCUAAUUACCUUGUGGAAGAGACC